UAAAUAUAAAUAAGCGACGAUAAAACUUCAAAUCAAUAAACGGUGCAUUCAACAAAUAAAUUCACAAAACCAAUGAAGUCUCCGACAAAUCAAUUCAUUUAGAUUUCGGUACAUUGAGUCCACGGCACGAAAACCUUGGUUCGUACUGUUACAAGUUGAUAUCAGAGCGUCAGCCACAACAUUUGCUUUACCUGGAUGGUAUUGCAAAUUAAACUCGUAAUCCUUGAUAAACUCCAUCCAACGUCUUUGCCUUAGAUUUAGAUCUCUUUGAGUGAAAAUGUAUCGCAAGCUUUUGUGGUCAGAAAAGAUCUCGAAUUUCUCACCGUAAAGAUAAUGUUUCUUUGGGGAGGAAAACGAUUUGGUUCAAGCUAAUUACAGAUUUAUCGAAGGACGAUGCGUGUAAAAGUUUGCUUGUCUAAAGAGUGCAUUGUCCGGUGUCGUAAUUUUAUGUAUCUUCUAUGAGAUGUUCCAUUUGAAACUGAUGUUGGAGACUUAUAAACAUGAUUUAGUUCCUUGGAAGUUUCUUUCCUGUUAUUGAAAGGAUUUGGAUUUUAAUAAAUGUAUUUUAUAAGUUAGCUGGAGAAUUGUAGUUUGAAUA